rnacentral:rRNA from 1 species
CCCGCACAAGCGGUGGAGCAUGUGGUUUAAUUCGAUGCAACGCGAAGAACCUUACCUGGCCUUGACAUAGUAGAGACUUUCCAGAGAUGGAUUGGUGCCUUCGGGAAUCUACAUACAGGUGCUGCAUGGCUGUCGUCAGCUCGUGCCGUGAGAUGUUGGGUUAAGUCCCGCAACGAGCGCAACCCUUUCCUUACUUGCCAGCAUUUCGGAUGGGAACUUUAAGGAUACUGCCAGUGACAAACUGGAGGAAGGCGGGACGACGUCAAGUCAUCAUGGCCCUUACGGCCAGGGCUACACACGUGCUACAAUGGUCGGUACAAAGGGUUGCUACACAGCGAUGUGAUGCUAAUCUCAAAAAGCCGAUCGUAGUCCGGAUCGCAGUCUGCAACUCGACUGCGUGAAGUCGGAAUCGCUAGUAAUCGCGGAUCAGAAUGCCGCGGUGAAUACGUUCCCGGGCCUU